UACCAUCACCCCGAGUGGUCGGGACGAUUAUUGGGCCUAAAGCAUCCGUAGCCGGUUUUACAAGUCCUCCGUUAAAUCCAGCUGCUUAACAGAUGGGCUGCGGAGGAUACUAUAAGACUAGGAGGCAGGAGAGGCAAGCGGUACUCAGUGGGUAGGGGUAAAAUCCGUUGAUCCAUUGAAGACCACCAGUGGCGAAGGCGGCUUGCCAGAAUGCGCUCGACGGUGAGGGAUGAAAGCUGGGGGAGCAAACCGG
rnacentral:rRNA from 1 species